CGGGACGGAGUCUGAGGAGCGUCUGUUGGCUCUAAGUCGGUAGGGGGCGAUAACAGCCCUACUCCUCAUGCUUCCUCCUGGGUCUUCCUGAGGCUGAAUGAAAGCAGCAGCUUUGUGAGCAAACAUGAGGAGGCAGAAACAAGAUUGAUGUCCGGAGAUAUGAAGCCAAGGAGAUAUCAGACGUUGACAAAGCAGAACAGGAAAAUCCAGGGGGCAGAAACAAGAUCGAGAACAGGCAGGCAGGAAAGAAAAUACUACUGGAAUACUCCACUGGAAGAACCAUCAGGAGCCAAAGCAUCACCCAAAACAGGAGAAGAUACCAGUGUAACUGUGCAGGAUGAGUCUUUUAAUCCUGUACCCUGCCAGGAGUGUUACUGUGGACCCAAAAGAAACCUCACCACCAAACUCAACAUCAUCACAUGCACACCAGUUGUUUAUAACACAAGCUGCUCUGAAGGUUUUGAAUAUCAGACUACUACAGAUGAGUGCUGUGGGACGUGUGUACAGAAGAGCUGUAUUUUCACCACUUCUAAAGACCAGACAGUAAAGAUCCUUGAGGUCAGUGAAAGAGAUCUGUUUUUAUACAAUGCCAUAAAAAUAAAAAAUAGCCUUAUUAUUCGUAGCAGUAUAAAGCACUAUAUCCUUUUGUUAUAUUAUAGUGCAUCUUUUCUUCAAUACCUCAUUGUUCAUACUCAGCAGUUUUUGUGUUUCAUAAAUCUUGUAGUUUUCUUUCCCAUAGAAAGUACUCCUGGAUCAGUGCUUCUGUGUUCUUUUUGUGUCUCUGCUCUGUUCUCUCAAACCCCCAGUCAGUCGUGGCAGAUGGCCGCUCACACUGAGCCU